GGGGAGGCAGCAGUCGGGGAAUAUUGCACAAUGGGGGAAACCCUGAUGCAGCCAUGCCGCGUGUGUGAAGAAGGACCUUCGGGUUGUAAAGCACUUUCAGUAGGGAGGAAGGUAGUGUAGUUAACACCUGCAUUAUUUGACGUUACCUACACGAAGAAGCAACCGGCUAACUCCGUGCCAGCAGCCGCGGUAAUACGGAGGGUGCGAGCGUUAAUCGGAAUUACUGGGCGUAAAGCGCAUGCAGGCGGCCUGUUAAGUCAGAUGUGAAAGACCCGGGGCUUAACCUCGGAAUUGCAUUUGAAACUGGCAGGCUAGAGUCUUGUAGAGGGGGGUAGGAAUUUCAGGUGUAGCGGUGAAAUGCGUAGAGAUCUGAAGGAAUACCAGUGGCGAAGGCGGCCCCCUCGGACAAAGACUGACGCUCAGAUGCGAAAGCGUGGGGAGCAAACAGGAUUAGAUACCCCUGGUAG
rnacentral:rRNA from 1 species